UGAUCCAUUCGUCAACGUCCUCUCCCUCCAGGCCAGAAAACACACCAGGCUCGCGAUGUUGGGCAACCGUGAUGAUUGGAGCAGUCGGACAAGCCGAAGCCGUUGCAGAGGCUGUCUCGUAACCAGGAGGCAUGGUGACAAGCUCUGUGUGCCGACCACUCCGGAGUUCCGUGGUACAUCUGCACAAGAAACCUGAACCAGGACCCCUUGGAAAUGUACUUUAGUUGCAUAAGGCAGAGAGGUGGCUGGAAUAACAACCCAUCAGCGGUGCAAUUCCGGCAUGCCUACAGGCAGACCAUAGUACAUGCAGCUGUUCUCGGCUCAAAGAAUACCAACGUCACUGCACAGACUGAGAGGAUAUGCCUUUCAAGAAGCCAGAGGCAACCCAGCAGCAAUUUGAGCGACAGUUAUGAAGAGCAGUCAGCUGCAACAGUGGAUGCUCUGCUCGAGCAUGACUAUUUUGCCCUGAGCGAAUAUGCCACUGAAGUAGUCCGCUACAUCGGUGGCUUCGUGGUUAGGGCAACCAGCAAACACCUUCACUGUGUGGACUGUGCAGCAAUGCUCACCAAUGACACUGUGACUAGCUUGCUCACAUUCAUAAAGGACAAUGGUGGUCUUAUAGAACCAUCGCACUUUGUGCAUGCAGCAAUGUGUGCAGCGGAGACAGUGCUACGCCAAGGCACCACGACAGGAGACAAUAUUCACAAGAUAACUCUUAGGGCCUUCCAACAAUUUGUGAAGCAACAUGAAGUCGUGCUUCACGAUUGCACACACUACUCUGAGGACCCACAGCAUGUGAUAAGCCUCACAAAAGUGCUCCAAAAAAAGUAUAUCACUCUCCGAAUUAAAGAAAUCGGCAGGCACCGCACUGAGCAGGAGCGCGGUGCAUACCUCAGACAUGUUCUCACAAAGCGUGUGCUAUUUGCUCACCAGUGAUUGACCAAGCAAGUCAAUCUGAGUGGAGAGAUCCUACAUUGCGCGCACAAAUCAAAUAAUCUUUUGUGGCAAGACAGCUCCUGCAAAGACCGCAAGAGUUGUUGCUUUUGUGUAGUUAAGAUACCUGACUUCUGCGAUGCCACAGCUCCUGCAAACAAUGCAACAGCUGCCACUUUUGUGUAGUAUAAGGGUCCAUGAAUGUUGUGACAACACAGCUCCUGCAAGGACUGCAAGAGUUGUUGCUUUUGUGUAGUUACGGUACCCCACUUCUGCGAUGCCACAGCUCCUGCAAACACUGCAACAGCUGCCACUUUUGUGUAGUAUAAGGGUCCUGAGUGUUGUGAUGAGACAGCUUCUGCAAAGACUGCAAGGGUUGUAGCUUUUGUGUAGUUACAGUACCCUACUUCUGCGAUGCCACAGCUCCUGCAAACACUGCAACAGCUGCCACUUUUGUGCAGUAUAAGGGUCCCGAGUGUUGUGACGAGACAGCUCCUGCAAAGACUGCAAGAGUUGUUGCUUUUGUGUAGUUAGGGUACCCCACUUCUGCGAUGCCACAGCUCCUGCAAACACUGCAACAGCUGCCACUUUUGUGUAGCAUAAGGGUCCUGAGUGUUGUAACAAGACAGCUCCUGUCAAAGGAGUCAUUGCUCCUGCAAAGACUGCAAGAGUUGUUGCUUUUGUGUAGUACUGACUAUGACGCUAGCACCCCAAGUGGAUUGGCUUGGCUUGCAAAGUCUCUCUCCUACCGCUGGUUUUAGCAUUCUUCUUCCCAGUAAAUGUGGCAUUACAACGCACCAGUUCUGCAAGGAGCGGUGUCGAAACGAAAAUUCCCCGAGCGCGCUGCCAGAAUUGCAUCUAACGUCCAUCGCAUACUUCGUGCCCUCUGGAUCAGUCGUUGUUCACAGCCCUUAUCGCACGUUCCUGCUAAGCUUUUUUUCUGUGAGAUCACCCUCAAGUCGUAUGUGAGGUAUAAACGCGAAUUUACAGGCUCGCUUUACAUACGCACACUAGGGACAUUCGAAAAAGUCGUACGCAAUGCGCAGAUUAUGGCUGAUAAUUGAAGCUGCACGCUUCACAUCAUAGCUACUAUUUAUGCUGUAAAGGCUACCAUCAAAAUAAACUUACACAUUACAACAUUGACCUCGGAAAAGCACCUAUGCCUGAGAAAAUGCGAGUCCAGUAUGAAGUUUCAUUGCCUCUCUGUACAAAAUUCAACAUCUUAGUGCAUAAAGUUUCAUCAAACCAUGCGAUCUUAUUACAACCCCAUGAAGCAUCACACCGCUACCCAAGCAGUGCAGUAAAACCCAUGGCAGAAGUAGGGCAUCACAAAUCAAAUGUAUGCGUGCACAGUGCGCUUGUGUAUAUGGUGAAUGUAACCAUUUGGCACCGCCCCGCACACGAUUCAUUCUCAGAGCACGAAAUUGAGGCCAUAUCGCACGACGUUGUUAGAGAUUCGUGAAACUUCACCGCACUGCACAAGCAUUGCGGUAAAGCCUGCGGCAGACUUAAGGCAUCACGAAAUUAAAUAAACGCAUGCAUAGUGCGCUGUACAUAAUGCGAAUGUAACCAUUCGCUACCGCUCCGCAAUAAAUUCAGCCUCGGAGCGUGCAAUUUUACCAUAUCGUGCGUUGUCGUUACAAUUUUGUCGAACUUCACCGCACCGCGACACGCGAUGCGGUGAAGCAUGCGGCAGAGGUAGGCCUGCAUGAAAUCGCAUGAAUGCAUAGAGGGCGCUCUUGCGCGCGACGCGCAAUGAAAACAUUCACUUCCACUCUGCACAAUUAUGUCUCAAUGCAUCUAUUUCCAGGAUGUCGCUUCAACUCCAUCAAGCUUCACAACACUAUGCAGCAUUGCCAUAAAGCUUCCAGCAGCUGAGGUUUUUAGGAAAUUUAAUGAAUGCGUGUACAGCACUCAAGCGGCAGCAGUCUUCCCAAAGGGCGCAAACAAGAGACCUUACGCACGCAGCGCAAGCUAAGUACGAGCACAGAGGAGAGGCGCUGGCGAGCACGACCUUGAAGGGAAGUGACGUAAACGUACACCCGUGGGAGGUGAAAUUCUUCUGCCAGGUGAGAAAUGAGCGCUGGCAUCUAGGAUGAAACUUGACGUGGGGACAUCUAUUCCAGUGUGAUGCUGCUAUACUAUGGUAAAACUUUAGAAAGAAGGGGAGGCCUCACCCAGAUGACCAAAGCGCGGCAGCCAAUUUCCUCCACGAGUAAAGUAGUCCCGCUCAAAAAAUGGUGCUGCGAGAACGCGUAAUUCGCCGUGUAAAUAAAGACUUUUGUAUUUUGA